rnacentral:rRNA from 1 species
UGGGGAAUUUUGCACAAUGGGCGCAAGCCUGAUGCAGCCAUGCCGCGUGUGUGAAGAAGGCCUUCGGGUUGUAAAGCACUUUCAGCGGGGAGGAAGGCGUUAAGGUUAAUAACCUUGGCGAUUGACGUUACCCGCAGAAGAAGCACCGGCUAACUCCGUGCCAGCAGCCGCGGUAAUACGGAGGGUGCAAGCGUUAAUCGGAAUUACUGGGCGUAAAGCGCACGCAGGCGGUCUGUUAAGUCAGAUGUGAAAUCCCCGGGCUCAACCUGGGAACUGCAUCUGAUACUGGCAAGCUUGAGUCUCGUAGAGGGGGGUAAAAUUCCAGGUGUAGCGGUGAAAUGCGUGGAGAUCUGGGGGAAUACCGGUGGCGAAGGCGGCCCCCUGGACGAAGACUGACGCUCAGGUGCGAAAGCGUGGGGAGCAAACAGG